AACGAACGCUGGCGCCAGGCUUAACACAUGCAAGUCGAGCGCCCCGCAAGGGGAGCGGCAGACGGGUGAGUAACGCGUGGGAAUCUACCGUGCCCUACGGAAUAGCUCCGGGAAACUGGAAUUAAUACCGUAUACGCCCUACGGGGGAAAGAUUUAUCGGGGUAUGAUGAGCCCGCGUUGGAUUAGCCAGUUGGUGGGGUAAAGGCCUACCAAGGCGACGAUCCAUAGCUGGUCUGAGAGGAUGAUCAGCCACAUUGGGACUGAGACACGGCCCAAACUCCUACGGGAGGCAGCAGUGGGGAAUAUUGGACAAUGGGCGCAAGCCUGAUCCAGCCAUGCCGCGUGAGUGAUGAAGGUCUUAGGAUUGUAAAGCUCUUUCACCGGUGAAGAUAAUGACGGUAACCGGAGAAGAAGCCCCGGCUAACUUCGUGCCAGCAGCCGCCGUAA
rnacentral:rRNA from 1 species